CGCGUUUGAGGUAUUGGUGGGACGAUCGCUGAAGGAGGUACACGCCUUGGUAGUGAUGGAGAUAUCCCUGGAAGAUGAGAUUAAGAAAAUUCUGAACAAGCUAAGUGGCUACGGUUAUGCGUACUUAGUGAGAAGAUGCGUGUUCACUGCCAGUCCCUUCAGAUGGUACAGGCUUCUAAUAUAGCCAUGUGAAGGCAAUAUGCUAGUUGAAUUUUUUGACCUGGCGUUUUCAAUAGAACCCCUUUCCAAAAAUAAUAUACUGGCACUCUUGUUUGAAUGGACUGGAUAAGAGAUUGCUGUUGCAGCCACUCUGGUGGACCAGUUUCAAUCCUAAAAAGAUGACUGAUAGUGGUCACAAGGAAGAAAAGAUGGUGAGCAACACUUGAUGCUAAACGUGUCUACACAAUAAAAAUCAGCAGAACAUUUCGUAAAAGUACAGUGGUCAUCUUUCUCAGAUGCUUUCAAAAGCAACGUCCAGGGCAGCUUUUUUGGAUGUCUCUUAUGCUGUGUGUAAGCAGUGAACAAGACAAAGUACUGUUCACGAAACGAGAUUGCAGUUGCCGAUUGUCUUCUGUGUAA